GUGCGGCAAGGCCAGCCCAGGCGAAGGAGUCUCGGAGGGGUGUUGGCGUACAUUCCAUGCAGAUCCUGGUUGAAACUUUGUCGCGGUGGAAUGCCAGGGACGGAAUGCCGGCAGCAGAGCAGCCUGGGGCCAUCCGUAUAAUCCCUGAUACCAGUGAUGUGAGGACGGUGCGGCAAGGCCAGGCCAGGCGAAGGAGUCUCGGAGGGGUGUUGGCGUACAUUCCAUGCGGAUCCUUGUUGAAACUUUGUCGCGGUGGAAUGCCAGGGACGGAAUGCCGGCAGCAGAGCAGCCUGGGGCCAUCCGUAUAAUCCGUGAUACCAGUGAAGUGAGGACGGUGCGGCAAGGCCAGGCCAGGCGAAGGAGUCUCGGAGGGGUGUUGGCGUACAUUCCAUGCGGAUCCUGGUUGAAACUUUGUCGCGGUGGAAUGCCAGGGACGGAAUGCCAGCAGCAGAGCAGCCUGGGGCCAUCCGUAUAAUCCCUGAUACCAGUGAUGUGAGGACGGUGCGGCAAGGCCAGGAUAGGCGAAGGAGUCUCGGAGGGGUGUUGGCGAACAUUCCAUGCGGAUCCUGGUUGAAACUUUGUCGCUGUGGAAUGCCAGGGACGGAAUGCCGGCAGCAGAGCAGCCUGGGGCCAUCCGUAUAAUCCCUGAUACCAGUGAUGUGAGGACGGUGCGGCAAGGCCAGGAUAGGCGAAGGAGUCUCGGAGGGUUGUUGGCGUACAUUCCAUGGGGAUCCUUGUUGAAACUUUGUCGCUUUGGAAUGCCCGAGAAGGAAUGCCAGCAGCAGAGCAGCCUGGGAACAUCUGUAUAAUCCGUGAUACCCAGUGAAGUGAGGAUGGUGUGGCAAGGCGAGCCCAGGCAAAGGAAUCUCGGAAAGUUGUUGGCAUGCUUUCCAUGAGGAUCCUCGUUUAAACCUUGUUUUAAACCUUGUUGUGGUUGGAAGUAAUAUUGGAAUUGCAUGGAAUUCUUACCACCCCACCAAAGAAGAGCUGGUUUUUCCACUUCUGCCACUCCUUAUCUAAGAAGAAAUCCAAUUAUGCACUCUCAAGAAUUUUUGCAUUUUCUCAGUCUUCCUACUAAUGCCUCAUACAGGAAUUAAGCAUGGAGACAAAGGGUAACAAAGAUAGAGCUCAGGUUUCCUAUGAAAAUGUUUAUUCCUUCCACUUAAGAUGCGACAUGAAGGAAAGGCCCAUCCUAAGAGGCCAGUGGGAAUUCUCAAGUCAGUAAGCAUUUGCCCCUAAAAUAUUGACCUUCCUUCUAAGGAUUAUAGAAUAUUCCAAUUACCAUAAGGCACUGUCUAUGAUAGUCAGCUGUGGAGCCUGGAUCACUGAUGUGGGGUCUGGUCUCCAUAACUGAGUAGAGUAGAUAAGGGAUGAACUUCGGAGUUUCUUUCACUUUCUGAGGUGAGGAGUGCCCUAUUUUAGAAACUCAUGUGUAUCAAUGAUUGCUAUAAUAAUUGAUCUCAUUUAAAAAUCUGAACAAAAUGAGUUACACAAUCACUUCUGUGAAACUGAGGUCUAGCAUAGAUACCCACCCUAAGCAAAAUAUUUACAGGGUGGAGAUCAGCGAUUUCAUUCGUGUGGUAUCAGGAAGAACUGUGGUAUUAGAAAGCUAAGCUGCUUGCAUGCUUUAGGGAACUGAACUGUACAGUGUCUAUUCAUAUCUAAUUUUCAGCUGAAAUUACAACCCUUUGA